UGGGCCGGAUGUUGCUGUGGUCUCUUCAUCCUCAGUGAGCCCAGAGCCAGUGAGAACAUCUAGAGAAAGACCAAAAGACAUUGAGGAUGGACCCCAAAUCCCUCUGCAGCAACCUGGAGUAAAGACAGCCAUGGUGACGACUGCGGAGAUUGAUCCAGCAAGCUUUUGCUGACCAGCUUAGUGCUUUAGCCCACUACACCACAAAAUGUUUUACAGAUAGCCAUGCUCAUGGAGAGCAGCACACAAAUGUUUGGAGCAGACACAGCAGCAGUCAGAUACAUGUUCUCCUGCUCUUAUUCAAGGUUGUGUGG